UACGGAGGGAGCUAGCGUUGUUCGGAAUUACUGGGCGUAAAGCGUGCGUAGGCGGUUACUCAAGUCAGAGGUGAAAGCCCGGGGCUCAACCCCGGAACUGCCUUUGAAACUAGGUAGCUAGAAUCUUGGAGAGGUCAGUGGAAUUCCGAGUGUAGAGGUGAAAUUCGUAGAUAUUCGGAAGAACACCAGUGGCGAAGGCGACUUACUGGACACAUAUUGACGCUGAGGUGCGAAAGCGUGGGGAGCAAACAGG
rnacentral:rRNA from 1 species